rnacentral:rRNA from 1 species
GGCUCAGAUUGAACGCUGGCGGCAGGCCUAACACAUGCAAGUCGAGCGGCAGCACUUCGGGUGGCGAGCGGCGAACGGGUGAGUAAUACAUGGGAAUCUGCCCAGUAGUGGGGGAUAACUUCGGGAAACUGGAGGUAAUACCGCAUACGUCCUACGGGAGAAAGCAGGGGAUCGUAAGACCUUGCGCUAUUGGAGGAGCCCAUGUCCGAUUAGCUAGUUGGUGAGGUAAAGGCUCACCAAGGCGACGAUCGGUAACUGGUCUGAGAGGAUGGUCAGUCACACUGGAACUGAGACACGGUCCAGACUCCUACGGGAGGCAGCAGUGGGGAAUAUUGGACAAUGGGGGCAACCCUGAUCCAGCAAUGCCGCGUGUGUGAAGAAGGCCUUAGGGUUGUAAAACACUUUCAGCAAUGAAGAAGCAUUUCAACAGUAAUACAGUUGUUGUGUUGACGUUAAUUGUAGAAGAAGUACUGGCUAACUCUGUG